ACAAGGGAGGGGCCACAACAGUGAGAGGCCCCCGUACCGCAAAAAUAAAAAACAAAAACAAAAACUUAAAGGGCCAUACUUGUGCUCAUAAUAACAAUCAAUAGAACUUUAGUUCUCAGAAUAGGGUUUGUAAAAUUAUUUUUAUAUAAAUGUUAUAAUUAAAUUAUUUUUACUUAAUUUUUCUCCCAAACAUAAUAUAAAUAUGAUGUUUUCUUUAAUUAUACGUGCAGUUUAUCAAUAGCAUACAAUUCCAAGAAGAUUCUAUAGUUCUUUAGAGGGUCCCAAGCAGGAUUGAGCCUGAGCUGUACAGGGUGAUAACCAUUCAAUGACACACAUUUUAUUGGCUUUCUCUCCUUGCCUGUAUCACUCUCCAUUUUCUGGGAUUACCUUCCAAAUAAGUUACAUGCACCUGAGAGUAUGUCUCCAGCUCUGCUUUCAGGGGAAACUAAGCUAAGACAGACAUUGGAAUGUACAGCCAGCCACACAAUAUAUAACUAGGCCCUUCGGGCUGACUUUCCCUUGCCUUCUACUACGAGGGGUGUGGACACUGUCAUCAAUAAAUGAAGCUUGGUCACAUCUUUCUGAACUGCAGUCCCCGUUGUUAGAAAGACAGCAUGUAAUGGGGACAGUGUCAUCUCCAGGCAGUGGAUGCCUCCGGUCCAUGAAUUCUCUAGACCCCUCCCAUCCUGCCCCCUUCCACACAUUCCUGAAUGUAUCGGUCACAUUAAAUCAAUGAGACUAACUGAGCUGCUCCUUCCUUAUUCCACUGUUUCUCUGACAUCACCCAGGAAAUUACUGGAACCUUUGGUCUUAGCUGUCCCUCAACUGUGGUGCCGUCUCAACCAGUGUCUGCCAGGCUAGUAAUUCGUUUUCAGUAGAGAAGUAGCAAGCAGCUACGUUCGGUAAUUUUAGGGGCCAAGAGCCUCAAUCCUUAAGCCAAUCCUGAUAUACGUCAGAGACCAUCUCAUUAGAGCAUUUAUUGCACCCAAUCAAUCUUGUGGUGCGAUAAACAAGACCGAGCAGAGCACAGCAUAGAAUACCAAGCAUGAACACUGUCUUUUUUUUUUUCUUUUUAAUCACCUGUAGCCUUUCAGGCCAACAUAUGCUUCUCUGAACUGAGAGCUUCGGAAGUAGCAUAAAUGUUAGCUGCAAGCAUCUCUGGGACUUAUGCUCACAGGCCUUUAGAUUGCCAAUAAAGGCGAUCUUGUAGCGACAUUCUUAAAAGUCUAGUGAUUUUUGGCUCUCUGUUCUUAUUUAAGAGAGAAACACCAAAAAUGGCUUGGAAAGUUGGCCAGGAUGUUAACUAGUGGCUUCACUGUACAGUUUACUGUAGAUCUGUACUCAGGCCUUACUUUGUAGAUGCCAAAAUGUUAGCGUCUGUAGGGUUUUUUUCUCUUGGGCUAGUUUUCUGUUUGUUUGUACUGUUGUUAUUGUUCUGUAUUUCAGGAGAGGGUGUAAGCCUGGCUGCUAUUAUUCUAGGAGCUGAGUAAGGGCAGGGGACUAAAGUUCUCACAACUCAGUAUGUAAAAUUUAACUCUACCUCCCUAUUUUACCUUUUGUCUUUCUUCCCUGAAAUAUUCCUGAGGCUAGAGCUCUGUUUCGAUUUUUCCAGUGAGAAUACCUGGAAUGUCUUCCUCUGUUGCGGUGGGAAAGGUUUAGGUGCCUGGCUAUGCAAUGUUAGGGCUGGCAUCUAGAGAGCUAGCUGCUUUUUAUUAGACUUUCAACUAAUCUUGUUUUUAAUCCACACCCCAUUCAAAGUGACAGGUGCCUCCAAUUCUGCAGCCGUUCUUGUCUUGCUUUAUGGCUUUUCCGAGUGCAGAUGCUUAAAUUUCAGCUUUCUCUGCUUUUUUAAGUUUCCACUUGUCCACCUGCUUGCCAUUUUCCAAGUUGUAUUCUAGCAGCAAAUCACCUAUCUGAAAAGACUACCUAUCUCAGCCUCCUUUGCAUAUAGUUCUGGCCAAAGGGGAAAUGCUAUGAGAAACAUCAGGAAUGGCCCCUUAACAGGAUUUGAUUCGGCUGUGGAGCACAUCCUUUUAUCCUUCUCUUCUCCCUUCCUCCUACUGCCUGGAAUGUGGACAUGAUAGCUAGAACGCCAGCAAUUAUCCUGAACUCAUGAGGGAACCUUGAGGAAGGAAGCCACAUACUGAGGAUGACAGAGCAGAAAUAUAGGAGCCUUGGUCCCUGGUGGCUGUGGAGUUACCCCAGACUAACGGCGGACUUCUUUUAUACUAACAGUAAUUCUGAUAAAUUCUAUCAUGUACAAUUUCCUUCAAAAGAGAGGGAAAGACUAUGAUACAUUGAUAAUUGUGUACAUUGCAUUACUGAGUAUGUUGCCGACAGAACAGAACUUCCUUUCUGACCAGGAGGAUAAAAAUAGACUUCUCUCUCCCUAACAAUUUUACAUAUCUAGUGAUUGGAAGAAUUUCCAAUAGACUGACUCAUACCUCCUUUCCUUUUAGUCUUUGUAUAUAUGGUGCCAUCCACUGCAGGAUGAAGUCACAUUGCAGUGUAACCUCUGGCCCUGCACCUUUACAUGACAGGAUCCCAGAUCUCGGCAUGGUCAAGUGUUCCUGGAGAAAGAAACUGACCUCUUGGCAACAACAACUCUUGGGUAAAAUUAUAAACUAAUUUUGGACAAGAAAAAAAACAAGAGCAUCAAUUGCUGCCAUUUGAGAUGGAAGGUCAUUUGAGGACAAAGUGAGAAAAUGGCUGUCUGCAAGCCAGGAAGAGAGGCCUCACCAAAUACCAAUCCUGACAGCAACUUGAUCUUGGACUUCUAGCCUCCAGAGCAGUGAGUAAAUAAAUUUCUGUUGUUCAAGCUACCUAGGCUCUGGUAUUUUGUUAUGGCAGCCUGGGCAGACUAAUAUAGUAGAUAAAGGCACAGUACAGACAUAAAAGGGCUGUACAUUUUAUAAAAUUCUGAAUCUGCAGAUUGGCAAGGUCUGAUGUGAUGCACAGUGUGGAGAUGGCAGCACCAGAUUCACCCUGGAAAGCAUCAAAAUACCACUUUCGAACAGAGGCGAUAUUUCCAGUUAAAACAUUACAACAUAAGUAAUUUGAUGGUGGUGAUGCAUCGACUUCAUUCAGCUGGCCACUAAAUUACAGAUGCUAACAGUAUUUCAAGAACUGCAGAAGAGACUGGGGACUUGCAAUUUCUAUUGUUGUUGAUAUUUCGAUUACUGUAGAAAUUCUAUUAUUUUCUUUCAAAGCACUUUGGAUGCCUGGACUUUUGCAAAUGGAGAGAUGCAAGGCAAGGGCUUGAUACUCUUAUAAUUAACAUUUUUGAGCGCUUACAUGAUUAUACAUGGCAGGCCCUGUUACAUAAACUGACUUUGUUUAAUUCAGAUAACAACCUACCUGUGAGAUUGCUAUAUAGGGACCAUUACUUCCAUUUUACAGAUGAGGAAAUGUUUACGAUGUAUUACAUUUAAAGAUCAGAGGGACUUCCCUAGUGGUGCAGUGGUAAAGAAUCUGCCUGCCAAUGCAGGGGACACGGGUUCGAGCCCUGGUCUGGGAAGAUCCCACAU